UGGGGAGCUAAGGAUGGGAUGCGUGGUGUAGAUAGAGCAGCCAAGGAGGUUUUCAAGAUGUCUGAGCGGGUUGUCGGUGAGGUUGGUGGGCAGGGAGAAAGGGAGGAAGGCGAGGUUAUCCCUACUCGAGGUCUUGGGAAAUCCACUGUGCCUUUUGAGGUUGAUUACGAGGACAAGUCUUUUAAUCCUGAGAGUAAGCGCUUGCUCCUUAGUUUGUUUUGUCUGUACUUAAUUUCUACUUUGCUAUGCUUUGACGUGCCUUUCUUUUGACAGAGUAUGAAAAAUCAGUUAGGCGUUUCGAGCAAAAGGACUUAGCUAGGAUGUCAGCUACCAUUGGAUACAAGGUAUUUUGUUCGACGCUUGCUAUUUGUUUCUUAUCUCUCUUUUUUUACGAGGCUUUUCAUUUUGGUGUUUCGAUUUUGCAGUCCAUCAUCCUUGGGAAGAUGCUAUGGAGAAGGCUGCGGCUAAGGAAAAGAGCAUGCUGGCCGAGAGCACAAAGAUGAUGCAGCUAGAGGCUAGAGUUGCAAAGCUUGAGGAGGAAAGCAAGGUUUUAUAUGCCUUGAAGAACGAGCUCGCCGAUUCUAACUCUGACCUUAAAAAGAACAACGUGCUGCUAACAAAUACCUACAGCGAGCUCGUGCAGCAAGUUGAGAAGCUGGAAAAAAGACCCGAAGACAAUCUUGGUGUUUUGGAGAAACUCCGAAGCGCCACAGAAAAAGACGUACAGACUAUCACAGAGCAGGAAAAAAUGAUUCAUACCCUUGGUCAGGAUCUCAAAGAGCAAAAGACCUUUGUUGUGGAAGCAGAGCGGGCUCUCAAGGAAAAGUUCGUUGAGAUCUAUGAGGUGUACAAAACUGCUCUUGCAAAGUUUGGCGCAGAGCCUCUUUUGUUUCUGGGUGAUGAAAGUGUAAAAGAAAUAUUUGAUUGGGUGGAAGAGGAGUUCAAAGGCCUGCCCGAGGUUAUUACUGGUAGCAGCAACUUUGCUGCUUCCUUCUGCCUUGAUAGCGCAUUUCAACUCCUUGAAAAGAACAGCUACUCUCAUUUCUUAACACUCGCGGCUCGCACCUAUAUGUUCCCCUCGGCCUCGGAGCUUGAUGAAGAGGAGAAAUCUAAAAAUUUGAGAGCCACGAAGAUAAAUUUCUUCAAACAGCUUUGGGCUACCUCCGGGCGAGAGUACACAAGGCUGGUUGCUCAAGAGCGGCUUGCACAGGUUAGGGUUCACAUAACUUUGUAUUUCAUAAGGUUUGCAUUUUUUCUGUUGAUUUCCUGAUGUUGUUCCUCUUGUGUUCGUAGGCCAAGGCAUAGGAAGCAAAAGGCGAAGGUGGGAGCGAGAACGAUGAUGCUGAUCAAGGAGGGCAGUGAUUAUCGAAGCUAGUUAGAGAUUUGUUUUGUGGUUUGGGAUGUUUUGAUAAACUUGAUACUUAGUUGGCUGCUUUUGCGGGCCAGAUUGUAAAUAUUUGUUGCUCAGCCGGAACUUACAUGCUCGAAGCUGGUUACUUUUGGCGUUUGUACCUUCACAGAUUUCUUUUUAUCUUAACGUUUUUAUGUUUGAGUUAUUCUACUCAAAUGGCAACAAAGCUGUAGCUUAAAGAAAUGAGCAAUGUUUUAGUUUAAAACGUCACCCCUGCCCUAGUUUCUUUAUGCGUAGGUUUUUGUUGACUUUGCACGCUUGUUGUCUAAGCUUAAACGGAGCUUAAAAACGUCACCCCCUUCUUGGCACGUGGGUCUUACCCGAGGCAAUUGUCUCAUGGAAAGAGGAUGAAAAUGAUUUUUGUUUGCCAAAAAAUGUCACCCCCGCCCUUUUAUCCUUUUUCCGAAAAAACAUCCAACCUCGCCCUUUUCUUUUGCAUGAACGAGGUUAAGUGAGUAUUGACAAACCACAAGAUAAGUCAAUAGAGAAGUUGUUUUCGAGUUAUGUUGACUUAAAAAUAUGAUAGUUUGGUUGAAAUCGCAACCCUUAGGAUGUGUUUGGUUGGGCUGUGGCUUUUCAGAAAGCUGCUGUGAGCUAUGGGCUGUAGAAAAGCAGCUGUGAGAAAGCAGCUGUGGGAAAAGUAUAAGGCCGUUUGGUUAGAGCAGAUGUGGCUUUUGAAUAAAUUUUCGCGUCGACCCUGCAUGUCAUCCACAGUCCACCCCACUCAACUCUCUCCCUCGCUCACUGACGAGCGGGUCUAACCCUUCUUCUUCCUCCCGCUGGCUUGUCCACCCCAUAGGACCCCGAGUAGCACCAGGGCCGCAACGGCAUCCACGAUGAUGCAGUCCACAAUCAGGGCGAGGUCCAUGACGGCGAUGGCCUGCGCCUCACCUCCUCCACCUUGCACCACGUGGCAGGCACCGUAGCACCACCGGCAUCUAGGAGGCAGUGGCACCCCGCGGGCACGCAUGCGUCGACAUAGAGGUUGAGGCUAGUCUGUGCCGCCAAGAGCCCGCCGCCCGCGCAGGCGAGCCCCGCCUCCAUGGUGCCCUUCGGCGCGGAGGCGGAGAGUGAUGAGGAGAGGGAUGCCAUGGCAGCGGCGAGGAGGAGGAGACGCGCGAUGAUGAGUGUGUGCUGCUGGAGGUCGGAGGCCGGGAGCGAGACGGCAAGGAGGCCUGCGGCAUGGUCGAGGAGGAGGAACGACAGGGAGAGGAGGAGCGGGAGGUGGGGCGGGAGGAAUGGGAGGAGCGGUGGGAGGAGCAGCAGUGGGAGGAGCAUCAUGGAAGCCAGUGGGAGGAAGGCGAACAGGAGCACGAGGAGUAGCGGGAGGAGGCAGAGGAGCGGGUGGCGGAACAGGCGGAGGAGGUGGUGGUGGAGGGAGGACGGGGAGAGGUAGGAGACGGCGGCAAUGAGGUGGUGGGACUGGGAGGUCGCGAGGAGGGAGAAUAUAACGGCAAGGUGGCACGCGAGCAGCAGCGCCUCCGACAUUGUUGUUGGGCAGCGCGGUCGGGGAAGUCCCGAGGAGGAGGAGCACCAGGCGGCGGGCCACUAAGGUGAUGGUCGGGUGGAGGGACUGGUGCGGGUGAUGGGGAGUGGACGGGAAUAGAAGGGGAAAACGAACCGUUAUCCUCCAUAACAAGUGGUAGGUGGGUAAUUUUUUGUCCCAAAAGCAGCUAAAAGCAGGGGGGAAGGUGCUUUUGAUUUUGGGCAAAAGCACGUAUGGCUUUGGGCAAAAGCACGUAUGGCUUUGGGCAAAAGCACGUAUGGCUUUUAGGCCCUUUGGUUGGCUUUUGGCUUUUGCAAAAGCAAAAGUAGGUUGGAAAGUCCAACCAAAGGCACCCUUAGUUGCUUCAACCAUGAAAUUUUGCGAGGUUGAGAAAAUAGGGAAAUAGGGUGCCUUUUUUGAAAAAAUGUCAGUCUUUCUAUUCUAUUGUGAGAGCUUUGGCUGAGGCUAGGGCCUUCGUGCGAAAGGACAAAAUGAAUUUUCGACUCUGAAAAACGUCACCCCCCUUGUCCUUUUGCGCAGAGGGGGUUUAGACUCAGCAUGGCUUAUUCCAAGUGUUAUCUCUGCCUUUGAUCGCUUGCUGCAGCCUUUCUAUUCUCUGAGUUGCAAGUUCAAGGCCAAUCACUGUGGUGUUUGAGUGAGAAACUACGUUUAUGUGCAUAUAGUGUGCGUUCAAUGUUAGACUAUGCAGCUUAUUGCUACUUUAAAAUAUCUUGCGCAGAAACGUAGGUUUUCAACACGCAGAAACGUGAGGUUAGGCAAGUUGUUGUUGCAUCUGAGACUUGUGCAGACACGCAAGUUUUCAAUGCACAGAAACUCGAGGUUAGGCAACUUGUUGUUGCAUCUAAGACAAAGAUCAUAGGGGGAACUUCAUUUCAUUGAAUAAUGGAAAUUUUACAAGGAUCUACCUCUUCCGACAUGGUUGCCUCUUUGGCCACUUCUGAAAUUGGGUUGAUGUUGGUGGUAUCGGUUCUGGUUUUGGCCUUGGUUUUGGUUUUGGGUUUGGUUUUUGAACGAGGGUUGGUUAUCCUUGAUGGCCAGCAGUUAGUUUGGGUGCGAGUGGUGCUGUUGUUGGUGACUGUAUCACGAAGCUUGCCAGUUUUGACCUUUCUCUGCUUGCCUUUGGCGGUUUCUUUCCACGACCCUUCUUCUAUGGUCUUCAUCUGAUCUGCAAUAUUUAUCCAUCUCUUCGAACAGGGCUUCCAUUCUUUUUGGCUUUUUCCUUGAUAGCUUCGAGGCUGUUGGCCUCGGAUUAAGCCCCUUGAUGCAGAUCUCUAUGGCCAUGCUAUCCUCCACAUCUGGGGUUUGUGUCUUAAGUUGGACAAAUCUUCUCACGUAGCUUGCUAAAGGCUCUUUAUCUUUUUGCACACAAUUGAACAAAUCCCCCUCAUCAGUCAUGGCUCUAUGAAAGCCUUGAAAGUUUUGUAUCAGUUUGGUUUUAAGAUCGACCCAGCUGUAUACAGAUUGCAGCAGGAGUAGAGAGUACCAAUUUAGUGCUGCACCCUCGCACGCUAUAAUGAAUGACUUUGCCAAUACUACAUCAUCUCCCCCUGCCGAGGCUAUGGCUGUUUCAUAACUCAUGAGGAACUAGCGGGGAUCUAUUUGUCCAUUGAACUUUGGUAGUGCAACUGCCUUGUAGGUUGUGGGCCAUGGGGCUGUUUGCAGGCCUAAGGACAAUGGGGAGAUUUUGUCGGUAGUUGUGAAUGCGCUCAUUGUCACUCUGGUGUUGUGCCCAACGAGGCUAGGAUUCGGGUAUAUGAUGGGUGUGUCAUUGGUGUUGAAGGUUUGAAGUGGUGGCUGCUGCGGCUGUUGCGGUGUGUUACACAAGUAUUCCAAUUCGUUCAACUCUUGCUGCAACUCUGCCAGCUGCCUUUUGGCCUCAUUUAGCCUCACUAGCUUGUUGGUUGCUAGUCUUUGAGCCUGAAGCUCUUGAGCAAAUUUUUCUUUUUCUUUUUUAAUGCCUCUAGCUGCUUGAGUGCCGAGGCCAGCUCUUCUUCUAUUUCACUAAGGGGUUCAUCUUGCGUGCUUGUUUGCGGCAGAGUUUGGUUCGAGGUCCCCGCCUCAACCAUGCCUAUCUGUGAUCUUGUUCUUAAAUUAGCCUCGAUUCUUUUAAACUUUUUCUGCCUUCUCCGUGUUAACUUGUUUGACUGAGACAAGCUGCCUUUCUUGAACAGCCUCAUCUUCGAUGGUUCUCUUCUUCUUUUGAGGUGGCAUCGUGGGUUUCUUAGUGGCUCAGAAUACGGUGGGUGCCAAUGUUCGGAAACAAGCUUGAGGAAGGCUCAAAAACAACGAGGUUUGAGUAGCACAUUAUCAUGGCUCGGGCGGCCGGAGUGAGGUGGAUCGGGUGGAUCAAGGCUACGGCAUAGCACAUUAUCAUGGCUCGGGCGGCCGGAGCAAGAACACGAGCUGGCCGACCGUAGAGGGAAGUCGCAAGCGGCACUCGCAGAAUCUACGUGGCUCCCCUUGGUCGUUCUUUGUCUCAUCCUAUGGGUAUUGUGGAGGCACGGCGCCAGGCUGGCGGCACGGUGUAGCCUCAAUUCAGAACAUUCCUAGCCAGGGCGUGGGCGAGGGCGAUUGGUUGCUCAACCUGAUGAGAACUUGGGUGGGUGCUCCUACAUGGGAGAGAAUAGGGUGAUGGAUGAGAAUGCAGAUGAGGGACGGGGCUAGACGAGGGGUAGGUUGGAGACAUGUUUUCAUUGUUGUCCUCUUAGCGUCAAGAUGAGAGGUGAGAUGAGAUACCGGUAGGACCUGCUCUUACCAUGGCACUUCAGCAACCCCACCCCAACCCCGCGCGCAAGUCAAAAUUUGAGGACCAUAUGUACAAUACGUGUGCAAACAAAACCAUAAUUUUACUAGUAUUGAGGAUUUUAGUUAUUUCUUCUAAAAAAUCUCUUGGGAAAUCGUAUUUUUGUAGUACAACAUAUAUAGAAAAUAAGUAUUGCUCACAAAUAAACUGCCCUAUUCUUGGUUUUUGUUAUUAUUUUAUUUAAUCUUAAGAUUUAUAUAUGCAUAAAAAAGUAAUUUAGUAUCUUCAAAUAUGGAAACGUGGUCUUAGGAAUAGGGCUCAUAUUUUAUUCUUGAGCAUGCCUAGUGGAAAAAUACUAUCUAAAAAACUGCAAAGAAAUUUAAUACCUAAGCCUUCGAUCCACUCUACUUUUUGUAUACUAGUUUACCUGCAAUCCACUGGCUUGCACAUUAUAUUUCAUCAUACGGAAAUGUCUGAGAUUGUGAACGGAAGCAAUUUCAUCUGUCUGCAACAUGUGACACCCAGAGCUCCUGACACAACCGCGUGAGCACCUUCUCCGACAUGCGCACAUGAUGACCGCAUGCACCCAUAUUAUACAUAGUUUAUUAUAGUUUCUGCAGGGAUAUGAUAAUCAUUAAUUAUUACUUGUAAAGAUUGGAAACGUUACAAACGAUUGUAGAAAAAAUGCGAGUCACCAGGAAGGUAGGUAGUAGAGCAUGCCGUCAGUGUCUUUCCUGUGACCUGUGUUCGUGGUGCACAUGGCAGAAUGCACAGUCUAUACAUAGGAACCAGAAGUUGGCUUCGAAACCAAAUCACUCAUUAGUCCUUCAGUACUGCAGUGAACGCUAUCUAGCUAGCUAAUUUCCCCUUGAAAUCAGUUUUCUUGCGUGGCCAUGGGUAGCCUUCCACUUGAAGCCAUGAUGCCACUGAACCCCGAUUCAUUCGCUGGGGAGUCCAGUGCCGUGGUCGACUUCCUCGCCGACUACUACCGCAACGUCGAUAAGUAUCCGGUCAUGGCCAACACCCAGCCAGGGACCAUCCGUAAGCUUCUUCCGGAGGCAGCCCCGGAGUUGGGCGACUCCAUGGAUCGCAUACUGGAUGAUGUGCAGCGGGAUAUCCUCCCCGGCCUCACACAUUGGCAGAGCCCUAGCUUCUUUGCCUAUUUCCCGGCGAAUGCAAGCACCGCAGGGUUCGCCGGGGAGAUGUUGUCGGCUGGUCUCAACGUCGUCCCGUUCGUCUGGACGGCGUCACCGGUGGCCACUGAGCUGGAGCAGGUCGUGGUUGACUGGAUGGCUAGCCUCCUCGGCCUACCGGAGCGCUUCCACUUCAAGGGAGGAGGAGGCGGUGUCCUGCAUGGGAGCACGUGCGAGGCGGUGGUGUGCACCCUCGCUGCCGCGCGCGACCGUGCACUCAGCAAGCUCGGACAUGAGGGCAUCCUCAAGCUUGUCGUGUAUGCCUCGGACCAGACCCACGCAACCUUCCAGAAGGGCGCGAGCAUCGUCGGCAUCCCUCCAGCAAACUUCCGCAUCCUGCGGACUUCGGCAAACUCGGGAUACGGCCUCACCGCCACCAUCGUCCAAAGAGCAAUCGAGGAAGACGUCGCCCGCGGGCUGGUUCCCCUUUACCUCUGCGCCACCGUCGGCACUACUGGUCUGGGGGCCAUUGACCGAGUGCGCGAGCUCGGCCAUGUUGCCCGGCGUUAUGGUAAUUCAUUCAACCUCCCUCUCUUAUACGCUAAUCACCCAUACGGUGACACUAAAUACGUAGAAAUGGAAUGCGCUAUGCGGUCACAAGUCACGAUUCAUGCUCACUUAACAAUCAACAAUCAGUUCCUAUAACCAUCUGACAAGAAUACAUGUUUUACAGGAACCUGGCUGCACAUCGACGCAGCCUACGCCGGAAGCGCAGCCAUUUGCCCGGAGUUCCAAGGUCACCUCGACGGCGCCGAGCUCGCGGACUCGGUGAGCAUGAACCCACAUAAGUGGUUCCUCACCAACAUGGACUGCUGCUGCCUCUGGGUGGCGAACCCUACCACCAUGACCGACGCACUGUCCACUGACCCGGAGUACCUCAAGAAUGUCGGCACCGCGUCUAAGAUGGCGGAAACGGUCGACUACAAGGACUGGCAGAUCGCGCUGUCACGCCGCUUCCGUGCCAUCAAACUCUGGGUGGUGCUACGGCGCUAUGGAGCGGCGGGAAUGCGCGCGCACAUACGGAGGCACAUCCAGAUGGCAGAGUGGUUCGAGCACGUCGUGGCGGCGGACGAGCGGUUUGAGGUCGUGGUGCCAAGGAACUUCUCCUUGGUGUGCUUCCGCCUCCGCCCGCGGUUCAUGGCGGAUAAAGCUGUGGAGGCCCUGAACCGCGACCUCCUCGCAGCGGUGAAUGCAAGCGGCCGGGCGUUCAUGACGCACUUCGUCGUGGACGACAAGUUUGUGAUCCGCCUAGCCGUGGGUGGGUCAAUGACAGAGAUGCGGCACGUCCGGGCCGCGUGGGAGCUUCUCAAGGAGAAGGCCAACGACUUGAUCGCCACCGGUUGUUAGUUAUUGCUCAUUGCUAGUGCUAUACCAUGCAUGGCCAGCAACAGAAGCUGAGCAUUCUAUUAUUGCUUCCAUUCGUAGUUAGAGCACACCAUGAAUGCAAUAGUCAAUCCAUCUGAACCAUGAACAUUCACUAUGACCAUGUAUGCGACACAAUAUACAUAAGUGCUACUGCCGAUAUUGGAUUCUAUUUCUGGAGAAGCGGCUGCUUCUACGGAGCAGGCCGAUUGAAUUUUAAGUAUGUUAUGAUACUUGUAAAAAAUCGAUGCUAGGCAUGGAUUCCUGGAAGGGGCCCGUCACAACUCACAAUGGAAGGGACCCGUCAUAACCAAGCUCGUUAAUACAAAAGAAACGUCAGGCGAAACAAAUGGACGCUAAGCCACACACCUGAACAAAUUUUACCCGAAAUUUGCAACACGUCAAGAAUGCUUAUCACUCAACCGUCUCACAUCUCUUUUGUUUAAGGAAACCAGGCUCGUUACUACAAAAUGAACACCAAGAUGAUAGAGCUCUUUUACGAUACACAAUACUACUACUUAGUAGUAUAUAGUAUAUAUAUAAGAUCUAACUGUUUAUUAUUAUGGAUAAUUUAGUAAUUAUUACAAUGUAAAAAGUGAUAUUUCAAAUAGAAUGGUCUUUUAAACUUUCUGCUAGUAUCAAAAAUAAAAUUAUAGUGGUGCCAUUUGUGUUUUCUUACCAUGAUACCCUUAUACUACCUAUACUACUCAUGUACGACAUAAGUGAAUAACAAAGGCAGUGCCAAAGCGAAUAAAGAGAGUAUUAAACUUUAUUACAUGAAAAUUGUCACAAUAAUGUCAUCCACAUAUAUAAGCAUGAAAAUUGUGACACCUCCUUUUGAAUAAAUAAAUAGCGACAUAUCUGAUUUUGAAGCUUUGAACCCAAGAUCAUACAACUUUGAGCUGAGCCGAGCAUACCAGGCUCUAGGAGCUUGUUUCAACCCAUAUAAUGCUUUGUCUAACCUGCACACAAAAUUGGGAUGUUUUGGAUCCUCAAAGCCUGGCGGCUGUCUCAUGUACACCUCUUCUUCAAGAACGUCAUGUAAAAACGUAUUCUGAACGUCCAACUGUCGUAGGCACCAUCCUCUGGCAACAGCUAUAGACAAGACCAAUCGAACCGUAGCAAUUUUUACAACAGGACUAAAAGUAUCUUCAUAAUCAAUUCCAUACCUUUGUUUAAACCCUUUUGCUACGAGCCGAGCUUUGUAUCUAUCAAUGCUUCCAUCAGACUUCCUUUUCACCUUGUAGACCCAUUUGCAAUCAAUGAGAUUUACACCUUGCUUGGGUGGAACUAAUCGCCAUGUUUUAUUUCGGUGUAAUGCACCAAUCUCCUCCUUCAUAGCUUGAGUCCAGCGAGGAUGACCAAGUGCCUCAACUAGGCCAUCAGGCUCUCCUGUCGAGCAAAAUCCUGUAUACCGAAUAGUACCAUCUGUAUACAUUUUGGGUUUGAAUAUUCCACGCUGCGAUCUGGUUGUAACUCGCUGUUGCCCGUCAGCCGUAGAAAAUCCGCCGUCCGCGGAUGGUCCGUCGUCCGUAGGAGACUCCGCAGCGAAUCCGGAGUCGUUCCCCCUUGGCGCUGAUGCAGGGGCAGCAGAUGAAGCGAGAGUAUCCGUUGGAGCUACGCCAGCCGGGUACGGCGUAUCCGCUUGGAAGCUGGAGCCGUCCGCCAGCGGAUCCAUCUGGCCUUCCGUGCUCCCCUGGCUGUUAACCAGAGAUGGCAAUCCAGUGCCUGAAACAGGAUCCGAUGCCUCUGUUUGAUUCCUGGAGACUUCCUGCGCAUCACAAUCAUCACUGAAAAAAUUGUUAUGAGGAUUAGAUAAUACCAUAUCAUCACUAUUUGCUUCCCCAUAGCUGGAACGAAGAUGUGAAGGAAGGAGUAAUAUUUCUUGACGGAGCCUUGCUCCAGCACUUUCAUGUAAAGCUUCAAAGGGGAACACUGCUUCAUCAAAUAUGACAUCCCGAGAGAUAUACACUCGCCCUGUCGAUAUAUCGAGGCACUUGUAACCUUUAUGGAGAGAACUAUAACUGAGGAAAGCACAUCGGACAGAGCGGAAAGAUAGCUUUUUAGCAUUAAAGGGUCUAAGGUUCGGCCAGCAGGCACACCCAACUGUACGAAGAAAGGAAUAGUUUGGUUGUUCACGACAUAGAAGCUCAAGAGGAGAUUGAUAAUCAGUGACCUUGCUAGGGAGGCGAUUUAUAAGAUAGGUGGCAGCAAGGAAUGCCUCAUCCCAAAAUUUCAAAGGCAUAGAUGCUUUAGCAAGAAGAGCUAGCCCAACUUCUACUAUGUGCCGAUGCUUUCUUUCAGCAGACCCAUUCUGUUGAUGCGCAUGGGGACAUGAGACCCGAUGGGUUAUCCCACUCCUUUGAAAGAAGGCGUUUAACUUUUUAUACUCACCACCCCAAUCUGUUUGCAUAGAGAGGAUUUUCUUAUCAAAUUGUCUUUCGACUAAUUUUUGGAAGUCUAGAAACACAUUGAACACAUCUGAUUUAUUUUUAAGGAGGUAAAUCCAAGUGUAGCGACUAAAAUCAUCAAUGAAGCUGACAUAAUAGGUGAACAUCCCAACAGAUGUAGGCGCUGGCCCCCAUACAUCGGAGUGGAUCAAAACAAGAGGAGCAGGAGCGGAAUUCUCAGAUGUGGAAUAAGGUAGCUGAUGACUUUUAGCUCUUUGGCAAGAAUCACACACUGAAUUGAUAGUAUUAUUGCUAAUAAAAGGUAGGUUAUGAUCUCUAAGAAUACGAGAUACUAUAGGAAAAGCAGGAUGUCCUAGACGACUAUGCCACCGUUCUAUCGUCGGUUUAACUGCGGCGAGGACUUCUUUGCUUGGGCUGCCAUCUGAGUUGUGCGGCACCAAGGGAUAGAGACCCCCUUCACAUCUUCCUCGAUGAAGAAUUUUCCUCGUUGCCCAAUCCUUGAUAAGGAAAAAGUUUGGAUGAAAUUCAACAAGAACAUUAUUGUCAAGGGUGAGGCGAUGGACAGAUGCAAGAUUUUUAUGUGAGCUUGGAACAUGAAGAAUAUUUCUCAAGACCAGAUUGCGAGAGGGGGUUUGCAAAAUAGAAUGACCAAUAUUAUUAAUCCUCAUACCUUGGCCACUUGCAGAGUAUACUUGAUCUCGACCGCCGUACUUUUCUUGCACAGUCAGCUUCUCCAAAUUGGAAGUGAUGUGAUCUGAGGCGCCACUAUCUGCAUACCAAUUUGUAUCAAUCCCAUAUGCUGCAGCAGGGCUAGAGUUGGAUGUCUUGUUGCUGUUCGCUUGAUUGUCAUCAUCGUAUCUAUACCAACACUCUCUUGCUGUGUGAUUUGGCCGAUCACAAAUUUGGCACUUUGGCUUGUUGUUUCCCUGGCCGCCACUCCUAAAAGAUUGACGAGCAUCAUCGGCACCACCAUAGCUUCGGCCUCCACGAUUUCCUCCACAGCCACGGCCAAAGUUCCCACGACCACGUGGGUUAUAACCACCACCGCGACCUCUGGAUGCAGAAUUGGCAGACGACAUGUACUGGCUGCCAGAGUUGUCACGCAACAUCUCCAGCCUUGUUUCAUAUGCCAUCACCUGAGCAUAUAAUUCGCUCAAAGGAAUCUGAUCAGACCCAUGACAGAAGUAACAAUAGGAUUAUACUCACUGUCCAAGCCAGAAAGAAUGAAAGAUAUCAUCUCAUCGUCUUCUACUUUCUUCCCAGCGCCGGCAAGCUCGUCGGCGAGUGCUUUCAUCUUGUUGAAGUAGACUGACUUCGUCAUGCUUCCCUUCUUGAGAGUUGACAAUUGCAUCCGUAGAUGAGUCACUCUUGCUCGGGAUUGGGCGGAAAACAUAUUUUCCAGCGCCGCCCACACUUCUGCAGAUGAGGACAGGGUUGCAACCUGUCCGAGCACGUCCUUUGUAACUGAGUUGAAUAGGAACGCGAGAAUUUGCUGGUCUUGCGCCAGCCAUGAGGAAUAUGCCGGGUUGCUGACAAUCUCCUUGGAUUUGUCCUCCCUGACGAUCUCCAGAAACUCAGAUGGGGCUUUGACGGAUCCCUCUAGGAUUCCCAAUAGCUGCGCCCCUCUGAUGGGUGGAAGAACUUGCGCCUUCCACAACACGUAAUUAUCUCUGGUAAGCUUCUCGGUGACUUGGGGACCAAGCGGCGCCAAUGCUGUCGCCGAGGAAGAGGAUGUCGCCAUGACGUCGACGCUUCUUAGAUGAAGAUGGCUCUGAUUACCAUGUAAAUAUGUAAAGCUAUUUGGUAAACGUGGUUAGCAAACUCGCAUCCCACGGUUCCGCGUUUAUAUAGUGCCGGAGGCUGUCACAAUUACAUGGAGAUAGAUUACAGCUUGACUUUCAAGUACACGGUUAAACCUCCCUAUCUCUAACUGUCUUCUUAUCUGUUACAAGAUUGUUACAAUAUUCUACGUCUUUAUCUCAUGGAACUAGAUAGCUUCGUGCGCCUAAUCCUUGCUGUACGACGUACCUUGACAGGAUUGCCAUGCGCUGUACGUGAGCAGGUCUUUAACAAAGUCCUACACCAACACGUUUUCUUAACAGCGACCCGUCAUAACCAAGCUCGUUAAUACAAAAGAAACGUCAGGCGAAACAAAUGGACGCUAAGCCACACACCUGAACAAAUUUUACCCGAAAUUUGCAACACGUCAAGAAUGCUUAUCACUCAACCGUCUCACAUCUCUUUUGUUUAAGGAAACCAGGCUCGUUCCUACAAAAUGAACAGCUCUUUUAUGAUCCACAAUACUACUACUUACUAGUAUAUAGUAUACAUAUAAGAUCUAACUGUUCAUUAUUAUGGAUAAUUUAGUAAUUACUAUAAUGUAAAAAAUGAUAUUUCAAAUAGAAUGGUCUUUAAAACUUUCUGCUAGUAUCAAAAAUAAAAUUAUAGUGGUGCCAUUUGUGCUUCCUUACCAUGAUACCCUUAUACUACCUAUACUACUCAUGUAUACUAUCCAUACCACAGGCGUAGGUUUCAGUAGUAUGUAAUUAAUCUUGACCGUCGGAUAUGUUUAUACUAGUCAUUUUCAAACACAAGUAUAGUCUAGUGUUGUGUUCCGUAAAAGAGCUCAUAUAAUAUGUUAUAAAACUUAUUUGUGAAAGCUAAAGGCAACAACAGGGGAUAAAUUUCAGAAUAGGUAAGAACAGAAAUUUAAAAGGGCAAAAUUUGUUGAUGCAUGGAAAUGCAUAGAAUGCUUAUUACUCAAUCGACUCACAUCUCUUUUUUCUAGGAAACACAAUAAUUGUUGGAUACAAAGCACUUAUUGUUGUUCAUAGCAGCUGAGAUUGACUUACAUAUAUUUAUUUGCAAACAGGUGUGAAAUGUGAUACAAUAAUUCAGAAAGCUAGACAUCCUGAGCCAUGCGAGGGAUAAGAAGAAGCUUCUCCUUACGGUGCACAUCUAUCCCAUACGACUCUGACAUAUCGACGCCUGUCGACCCCGGCAGAAGCUCCCAGUUGAAGUGGUAGAUGAGGUUGGCAAGAAUGAUUUCGAAAGUGGCGGUGGUGAAGUUUAUACCCGGGCACAUCCUUCGCCCAGACCCAAACGGCAAGAAACGGAAGUCGUUCCCCUGGAAGUCAGAAGCAGCAUCCACGGCUUCUUCCAUGAACCGCUCGGGCAUGAACUCCUCUGCACUCUCCCAGUAGGUGGAAUCCCUGCCUAGAGCCCACGCGUUGACGAUUACACGUGUCCCAGAGGGUAUGGUAUAUCCCUCCACCUCCCAUUCGGCCAUGGACAAGUGGGGUAUCAAAAGAGGCCCGGCGCGUGUAGCCGCAUUGACUCUUUCAUCACCGCCGUCAGGUAGCUCAUGCCGCUCAGGUCUUGUUCAGUGACCAGUUCCUUCCCCUUGGUUGCGCACCCCCGCACCUCAGCUUGAAGCUUGGUCAUCACCUUGGGAUUCCGCAUCAGCUCAGCCAUGGCGUAGUCUAGUGCUAUGUAGGUUGUGUCCGUCCCAGCUUCAAACAUGUCCUACAUGAACAUAUCGGUAAGUAGAACUCCAAAUUUAACCAAGCUAGUCCAUGAAACGUCUCAUAUGUACCUCUCGUGAAAAAUAAACAUACCAUCAGUAUCGCCUUGACGUUGUCUCUGGUCAGGCCGUAUUCUUGUUGAACGGAGAGCAGCACAUCGAUGAAGUCCUCCUCGUCCUCACCAUCGACCGGCUUGGUCUUGUGCUUGUCGAUGAGGCUGUCCAAAAGGUCAUCCCAUAUCUUCCUGUGCUUCACGGCCUUGGCCGAUACCAAGUCCAACCUCGCCAAGCUCGGGAAAUAGUCGUCCAGGUUAAAUCCCCCCAGGAGCUUGGCGUUCGUCUCUAACAGCUCCCGGAACAGCUGGUUCCGACCUUGUUCCCUGGGGAGCCUGCCCGUCACGGCCUGGCACACGAUGUCAUUGGCGAAGAAGCUGAAGAGCUCGCUGACGUCGACCGCGAUGCCCAUGGCGGCGGCGGCCAUAGGAGAGACCGGGAGAAAAGAAGUGAAGUAAGUUGCGUGCGUGCCUGACGGCGAGGAAGCACCUCCAUUGAGCCACGAGGUGGAGUACGAGGCAGAGGCGAGAUGGGAUGUGUUGGGGACAGACUCACAUGACGGAGAGCGGUGCAUCUCCUACCUACCAUCUGCCAUUGCCGAGGGCCUUUCACCGUGCACCACUCCGGUUCGCUCUUUUGCGUCGCUGGGAGGAAAGGGACCGCCGAACGUUGGGUGCCGCCACCGCUCCUGCGUAGUUCGCCAUGGCCACCUCCUCCGAGAGCGCCCACACCAGCGCUGCACCUCAUUCCAGGGAUGGGGCAGCCGCUGCUGGGUCACAUCCGCCCGGGGAUUGGGCCGUUGCUGGGGAAUAAGGGGGUGUUUGGAUGUUUAGGACAUCCUAAAAUUUAUAUCACAUCGAAUAUUCGGAGGCUAAUUAGAAGGACUAAAUAUGAGCUAAUUAUAAAACUAAUUACACAGAUGGAUGCUAAUUCAUGAGACGAAUCUAUUAAGUCUAAUUAAUCCAUCAUUAGCACAUGUUUACUGUAGCAUCACAUUGUUAAAUCAUGAACUAAUUAGGCUUAAUAGAUUCGUCUCGCAAAUUAGUCUCCAUCUGUGCAAUUAGUUUUGUAAUUAGUCUAUAUUUAAUACUCCUAAUUAGUAUCUAAACAUUCGAUGUGACAGAAAUUUUAGGAGGGCCUAAAGAAACAAACACCCCCUAAGAGGAGCGCGGCAGAGAAGAAAAGGAGAAACAUAGGAGACGUGAUUGACAGGGACGGAGGAAAGAUGAUGAGUGCGUACGGUGGGGCGGGUAGGAAACACAUCGGUAAAAAUGGAAUUGGUUUUUUUGUAGAAACAUUUUCUAACUUGUGGUUUUUAUGGGUCUCCACCUUAUCCUCUCUCAAUUGCAUGAUAGGUGGGUCCGACGUGAGCGGUAAGGUGGUUCUGGUUUGGGUGAGAAAGGUUUUCAAUUCUUAUGGAAAAAGGCUUCACGGAGGCUCAAACACAAUGAGGUUUGAGCAGUCCUUGCAAUUCAAUUCCAAAGAAAUGAACAUAUGUUUACAUCGGGGUAGGGCUCUCCUUUUAUAGUGUCUCGGAGGACAUUUUGCAUUCCGCAAUUACCCUCACUCACCCACUACAAUCCUACAAUAUGCUUUACAUGGAGCUAACUUGUAUAACUUGGUCUCCUCCUUGGAUCACGCUUCUCACGCCUUUAGUCAGCUCCAUGAUUCACGCUCUCACAUGGUUCCACAAAUCACGCCUUCACAUUUCCAACGCCUCCACGCUUCCUGACCUCGUGACCGAAGCCAUCUUAGCUUCGGGAGUCAUGAUCGCCAUAGAUUCGCACCUAAGAGACGCUAGCCUCACGCCCUGCUCCUUGACCUGAUUCAAUGAUCCUGCAUGAGACACUAAAUAACUCGGCACUCAAGGUUAGCUUCGACUGCUCGAGUUCAAGCUUGGUUAGUGUCUGGCGAUCUGCGAUUGCCUCCAGGCUUCGAGGUAAGAUUCAGGAUAGCGAGGCUAUGAUUACUUUCCACGCCAGAUUAACCACCCAGGGUUAGGGGCCCUCACCCGAGGUUAAUUUUUUUGAGGGGCUAAGCUGUUGACGCUAAAUGUAAUGACCUCGAGGGUGACCAUCUUUUUGGGCGAUCCCCAACAGUAGCCCCUCAUGGGCAAGGCUCGACACUGACUACCGAACCCACGACUUAAGGAUCUGCUCCCAGAAAACGUCACUCUCGAGCAUCGGUUAGAAAUGAGCCAACAAUUACCUUUUUGUUCUUACGUGUCGAUUUCCUAUUGGGUGACCCUUCGUAUCUAGCUCGUGGUUACAGGUGCCAUUUACGCCUUUUACCAUGCCUAUAAAAGAGGGGGGUGGGGUCGCUUUCGUUUUUACCCUCGUGGCUGAAACACUUGCGCUCCUGCUUUUGCUCGCUGCUUCCGUGCUUUAAGAUUCAUGCAUUAUAUGUUGUUGUCCUUGGUCUCGAGGAUCUCGAAGGUAACAAUGUUACUUGUGUCUCUCUGAUAGUGUGAGAUUUUCCCUUGGUUUUCAUUUUGGAGAUGAUGUUUCGAUGCCUUGCAGCUGGCUCGUAUUAUGCAAACCGCUAGGCCCAUGACAUCAGAAGAGUUCACUAAACAAGCUGGGCUUCGCAACAAGGCUGCAGAGGACAAGGAUUUGUACAAGGCCGACGAUAAGCAAGGAAUCAAGAGGAUUGAGCUUUCUUAUGCCCAGAAGAAUAGGUGGGAAGACAAUUGGCUAAGCUACUAGUUCUAUAUCAAGAUUGACACGGCCAAUGCGUCUGGUAUCAACCAACCUUUCUAUCCUUCUAUGCACCCCUGGGCCCUAUGGACAUUGCUACUACCCCUGCAUUUACAAGGUCCAAGGCAGUCAAGGAUUGCAAGGGCGCUUUCCUCCCGGACUCGAAGUCGAUCCCCGGCUGGAUCUUGUUGAAGAGUUUUUGGCAGCCAACAUUUGGCCCCUUUCUGAUGGGUGGAGUCCAUUGGAGAUUGUGCCAAAACAGGUUCCGUGGAGUACUAGCCCGCUCCUCUACCCUUUCUUUGGAGUGGAGCUGCCUGUGGAUGCCAACCCGGUCUUUUUGCAGAGGAUGUUGAGAGGCAUGCUGUUGAUAUAAUUGGCCCGAUUACUGAGACUGAGCUGACAUUAGCUCAAAAGAUCAUUCCACACGAGCUUCGGGUCAACCGUGUGUUUGAGGAACUUGGGGUCGAUGUUAAGCCUCAUCCCAAACCUCGCAAGUCCUUGAAAUGGGCACGAGAGGCUGGCGUGACAGGCUCGGAAUAGGUUGGCGGCAGUGGCAGGUGGAAAAAGAUGAAGGCUGAGAGCACCGCUCCUAAGGCCGCGGCAGUGACUUCAAAGAAGGAUGACAGCCAAUCGAGGGUCGUGCUCGAAGUGCGAAAGCAAAAUUAAAGACCUCGAGCCUCAAAGCUCAGAAGAAGAAAAAAUUGGACAAAGUUCCUCAAGCGAGGCUGCAAAAUCCUCCGCGCCCCUGUCUCUAAAGCCGUCCGAGUUGCGACCAAGUCCGACCUCGAGGCUGCCGGCGCGCUGGCCGGUAUGAAAGAAAAGAAGUCUACGAGGAAGUCUCAUGUCGGCAAAGCCUUUGAUGAUGAUGAUGAUAUUGUUUUGGAUGUGGACUUGUCUAUGUUCCCUAUAUUGGUCCCCGAGGCUAGUGUUCCUUCAAAGGAGACUGAGACAAAGGUUACUGCACCCCCUCUACAGCACGAGGCCAAACCUUUGAAGGAGAAGAUCGUGGAUACCAUUGCUAAGGAGAUUAAGGCGUCUACUUCGAAGGUGACAAAGCCAGGUAAACAUGUCGUUGUACAUUUGCCUAGGAUGAGAUUUUUUGAUUGUGGUGAUACGUCAUUUAGAUUUCUGAUGGAGCUGGAAAAAACCACUGGUGCACCUGGGGAGAUAUACAGGCAACCUCCUCUAAUAUUUGGGGUAAAACCUUAUUCUGCAGAUUCUGAACUGUCACCCUCUCUAGAACGUUACAACGAGGCCUACGGCACCAACCUUAGACAGGAGCUCAUUGCUGUUCAUGUGCCGGGUUUAGGUGAGGAUGAUAAUCGCUACAACCUACCCUUGUUGUGGGGAGCUAAGGAUGGGAUGCGUGGUGUAGAUAGAGCAGCCAAGGAGGUUUUCAAGAUGUCUGAGGGGGUUGUCGGUGAGGUUGGUGGGCAGGGAGAAAGGGAGGAAGGCGAGGUUAUCCCUACUCGAGGUCUUGGGAAAUCCACUGCGCCUUUUGAGGUUGAUUAUGAGGAAAAGUCUUUUAAUCCUGAGAGUAAGCGCUUGCUCCUUAGUUUGUUUUGUCUGUACUUAAUUUCUACUUUGCUAUGCUUUUACGUGCCUUUCUUUUGACAGAGUAUGAAAAAUCAGUUAGGCGUUUCGAGCAAAAGGACUUAGCUAGGAUAUCAGCUACCAUCGGAUACAAGGUAUUUUGUUCGACGCUUGCUAUUUGUUUCUUAUCUCUCUUUUUUUACGAGGCUUUUCAUUUUGGUGUUUCAAUUUUGCAGUCCAUCAUCCUUGGGAAGAUGCUAUGGAGAAGGCUGCGGCUAAGGAAAAGAGCAUGCUAGCCGAGAGCACGAAGAUGA
rnacentral:lncRNA from 1 species